rnacentral:rRNA from 1 species
UACAGAGGGGGCAAGCGUUGUUCGGAAUUACUGGGCGUAAAGGGCGCGUAGGCGGCCUUCUAAGUCGAACGUGAAAUCCCCGGGCUCAACCCGGGAACUGCGUCCGAUACUGGAAGGCUUGAAUCCGGGAGAGGGAUGCGGAAUUCCGAGGUGUAGCGGUGAAAUGCGUAGAUAUCUGGAGGAACACCGGUGGCGAAGGCGGCGAUC